GACCUGGUGGUGAAUGGUUCACACCCACCCUCUUUACAAUGUUGGCGGAACGGGAUGUAAGGUGGGAGUUCCGGUUCGAUUCCGGGCUAGGUCA